rnacentral:lncRNA from 1 species
UGACUCUAGAAUAAAUAGUAAUGAGUUUUUAAAUUUGAGAAGUCUCUUAUUUCUAACAGUUAAAAGAAUAGAGAUGUCCAAUACAAGUCUAAAUAAGGGUAUGACGACAAUUUGAACUAAUCCUAAGUGAAGAUAUUUAAAUUUUUCCGAUGAGAUCGAAUAGAUUCUUUUGAAAAAAAAUUUGUAUUAGCAUUUUGACUUUUGAUGGCUAGAGUUUGCUCAAGAGUUUAGAGUAAAAUCAAAAUUUCCUAUUUCAUAGAUAGAACAUAUGUCUACCUUUAGAGUAGUCUAGUUAUAAAGUCUUUGUUCAAUUUGGGCAAUUUGAAGUUCGUGAUUAUUGAAAUCAUUUGAUGUAGAUAAUGCUUGAUCUAAUUUUUCUUCAGCUUGAAAAGCAUUUGUGAUGUUUUCGAAUCUACUACUAGAUCUCUUGAAUUAGUUUGACAUUAAAGACAUAAAUAAAUAAAAUGAAAGUAUAAUAACUUACCACUGUAGAUAUAAUGCUACAGGAUAGAUUGACUCUCACCAAGCCUUCAACAGGACCAUCCUAAAACACCUACUCCAACUACACGGGCCAACCAAAGCUAUUCAGCGGACGUAUAGGCUAAAACUAGUAUCUCAUUUGGCACAAUAUCUAAAAUGAAAAUCACUAUAACGUCGCUUCACUCGGUUAUGGCUCUGAUAUUGAAGAGGACCAAGGAAACUGGAUGGUAGAUAUAGAUAUCAAAACUUAGAAAUGAAAAAAUGAUAGGCCCAGAGGGACUUGGUGAUAGAGAUAGAUAUCAAAACUUAAAAAUGAAGAAAUGAUAUUUUUAUUUGGAAUAAACAAAUUGAAGUACAAGAUAUUGAAUAGGAUAUUCAACUUUGAAAUUCAAAAAUUACAAGAUAG